AGCGAACGCUGGCGGCAGGCCUAACACAUGCCAGUCGAACGAACUCUUCGGAGUUAGUGGCGGACGGGUGAGUAACACGUGGGAACGUGCCUUUUGGUUCGGAAUAACUCAGGGAAACUUGUGCUAAUACCGAAUGUGCCCUUCGGGGGAAAGAUUUAUCGCCAUUAGAGCGGCCCGCGUCUGAUUAGCUAGUUGGUGAGGUAACGGCUCACCAAGGCGACGAUCAGUAGCUGGUCUGAGAGGAUGACCAGCCACACUGGGACUGAGACACGGCCCAGACUCCUACGGGAGGCAGCAGUGGGGAAUCUUGCGCAAUGGGCGAAAGCCUGACGCAACCAUGCCGCGUGAAUGAUGAAGGUCUUAGGAUUGUAAAAUUCUUUCACCGGGGACGAUAAUGACGGUACCCGGAGAAGAAGCCCCGGCUAACUUCGUG
rnacentral:rRNA from 1 species